ACGAUGCCCCUUCGGGGACAAAGUCAGUGGCGGACGGGUGAGUAACACGUGGGCAACCUGCCUUAUAGAGGGGAAUAGCCUUCCGAAAGGGAGAUUAAUACCGCAUAAGAUUGUAGUAUCGCAUGGUACAGCAAUUAAAGGAGCAAUCCGCUAUGAGAUGGGCCCGCGUCUGAUUAGCUAGUUGGUGAGGUAAUGGCCCACCAAGGCGACGAUCGGUAGCCGGACUGAGAGGUUGAACGGCCACAUUGGGACUGAGACACGGCCCAGACUCC
rnacentral:rRNA from 1 species